rnacentral:rRNA from 1 species
CUAUACAUGACUCUGCGCAUAUCAAUAAGCGGAGGAAAAGAAACUAACAAGGAUUCCCCUAGUAACGGCGAGUGAAGCGGGAAGAGCUCAAAUUUGAAAUCUCCAAGGGUUUCCCUUGACGAAUUGUAGUUUAAAGAAGUGUUUUCUGUUAGAGAGGUGGUAAAAGUUCUUUGGAAUAGGACAUCAUAGAGGGUGAGAAUCCCGUAUUUGAUCACUUUCUACUAACGUUGUGAUACACUUUCAAAGAGUCGGAUUGUUUGGGAAUGCAGUCCAAAAUGGGUGGUAAAUUUCAUCUAAAGCUAAAUAUUGGCGAGAGACCGAUAGCGAACAAGUACCGUGAGGGAAAGAUGAAAAGAACUUUGAAAAGAGAGUUAAACAGUACGUGAAAUUGUCAAAAGGGAAGCGUUUGACACCAGUGUUGUUUUUUCGAAAAUCAAUUACGAAUGUUUUAUUUUUGAGAAGUUAUGACUUCAUCGGCUUGCUUCUCUCUUUAUGAAACUUUCUUAAUGCACUUUUCGGUUAACAAGUCAACAUCAAUUUCUUUUGUUGUAAAAGGGUAUGAGGAAGGUGGCUUUCUUUUCGGAGAAAGUGUUUAUAGCCUUGUACCUCUGCAAUCGGAGAGAUUGAGGUCUGCAGCGUAGACCCUUCGGGGUUAGAUACAUUUGUGCUAAGUUAUAGCUUUUCAUAGACAACUUGUUGACUAUGUUUAGUCUUGUAGCUUACUCGCUUAUGCUAUUUUACCUACGCUUAGGAUGUUGAUAUGCAUGACUGAUAU